UAGCUUAGUCGACUUGAGCAUGGUGCUGAUAACACCAAGGUCAUGGGUUCAAUCCCCGU
rnacentral:tRNA from 1 species